rnacentral:rRNA from 1 species
CGAAGGCUUCGGCCUUAGUGGCGCACGGGUGCGUAACGCGUGGGAAUCUGCCCUCAGGUUCGGAAUAACAGCGAGAAAUUGCUGCUAAUACCGGAUGAUAUCGCGAGAUCAAAGAUUUAUCGCCUGAGGAUGAGCCCGCGUAGGAUUAGCUAGUUGGUGUGGUAAAGGCGCACCAAGGCGACGAUCCUUAGCUGGUCUGAGAGGAUGAUCAGCCACACUGGGACUGAGACACGGCCCAGACUCCUACGGGAGGCAGCAGUGGGGAAUAUUGGACAAUGGGCGAAAGCCUGAUCCAGCAAUGCCGCGUGAGUGAUGAAGGCCUUAGGGUUGUAAAGCUCUUUUACCCGGGAUGAUAAUGACAGUACCGGGAGAAUAAGCUCCGGCUAACUCCGUGCCAGCAGCCGCGGUAAUACGGAGGGAGCUAGCGUUAUUCGGAAUUACUGGGCGUAAAGCGCACGUAGGCGGCUUUGU